UUGACCUCGGAUCAGGUAGGGAUACCCGCUGAACUUAAGCAUAUCAAUAAGCGGAGGAAAAGAAACCAACCGGGAUUGCCUCAGUAACGGCGAGUGAAGCGGCAAGAGCUCAAAUUUGAAAGCUGGCCCCUCCGGGGUCCGCGUUGUAAUUUGCAGAGGAUGCUUUGGGUGCGGCCCCCGUCUAAGUGCCCUGGAACGGGCCGUCAGAGAGGGUGAGAAUCCCGUCUUGGGCGGGGUGUCCGUGCCCGUGUAAAGCUCCUUCGACGAGUCGAGUUGUUUGGGAAUGCAGCUCUAAAUGGGUGGUAAAUUUCAUCUAAAGCUAAAUACUGGCCGGAGACCGAUAGCGCACAAGUAGAGUGAUCGAAAGAUGAAAAGCACUUUGAAAAGAGAGUUAAACAGCACGUGAAAUUGUUGAAAGGGAAGCGCUUGCGACCAGACUCGCCCUCGGGGUUCAGCCGGCACUCGUGCCGGUGUACUUCCCCGGGGGCGGGCCAGCGUCAGCUUGGGCGGCCGGUCAAAGGCCUCCGGAAUGUAGUGCCCCCCGGGGCACCUUAUAGCCGGAGGUGCAAUGCGGCCAGCCUGGGCUGAGGAACGCGCUUCGGCACGGACGCUGGCAUAAUG
rnacentral:rRNA from 1 species